rnacentral:lncRNA from 1 species
ACGCGUUGAACAUGCGGCUGGAAUCCAGUCUUGUGAUCCGAGCUGUAGUCAACAAUACGGUGAGUUCCAUCGGCUUCAUCCAGAGUGUAUUGUCCCUUAACGUGAUCUCCAUCGCGGUGCUCCCAUUGGCUUUUGUGAUCGUGGGUGUGGAAAUCCUUAACUCCAUAUUCGUACUUGUACUUGGGAUAGCUGUAAUAGUCUUCAAAUGCCGAUGCGACUACGGCAAGGCAGACAACCAAAGCGAUGAGCUUGAACAU